GAGCAGACUGUUCUGCCAGCAUCCUGUGUGGAGGCAAAGAGGUUCUGUGAAGAGGCCGGAAUGAACAUCUGUGUCCCCAGAGCCAAGCAGUUGCAGGUAGGAUUAGACCUCAAGGUCAGGUUGCCCUCAUGUCUAACCAUAAAGAUAGACAAACGAAUGUAACUGUCCAUUGACUUAUCCAUGUACUGACCUAUGUCUCAUCCAAGUGUUCAUUUAUGUGAUCGUUUACAAGGCUUUCUGUUGGGGUAGCCUUUUUGAAGAAAUUGCAUAUUUGGAAGGCAAAUGCCCCUGCUAUUCUAGAAUCUGCAGUUUAUUACGGGAGAUAGGCUGACUACAUCACAGCACUACAUGCCUUUAUGUGUGGAGGAGGGUGCUAUGUGGGAGCCCCUCUUUAGACUAGCACAGAGCUUUGAGGGAUGAGGCAAAUGCCUGUAGUUCAUUUGCUUUACAGGGAUCUUGUGAGAUUCCAGGAAGUAAGUAGUUUGCAAGGAGGAGAGCCUAGUGGAAAUGCCAAAUAAAUGGUUCUCAUUGUAAUCUUUUGGUGCCUUUUGUUCUUUCUAUCCCCUUUUCCCUAUAUAUGAAGAUGGUCUCUUCAUGCUUCAUACAUCUUGGGUACCUGACAGAACCUGAGUAGCAGCAUGUCAGUCCUAUUUUGUUUAAGUGCUGCUGGACAUUUCAUAUCUGCAUCUUAUACUCUGAAGUUGGUUAGAAGAGCAGGGAUGUGGAAAGGGUUUCAAAAGGUGAGGAUAGGCAUGAGAGAUUUGAGACUUCAAGAACAAAGUUCUCCAUAUAUACCCCACAUUCUGACCAAGAAGAGUGCUAUCUAGGCCUUUUUAUUCCUCUAGGGAAAAUUAGCUGAGUUAGUGAUUCUCUCUUAAAAUACCUGCUUUGAAUAAUCUAUAUUAUGAUCUUCCUCCAGCAUGAUGGAAUCUUCAUUGUUUUCUGCCGACUUAUGGUUUUUCGUGUGUGUGUGUGUGUGUGUGUGUGUGUGUGUGUGUGUGUGUGUGUGUGUGUGUGUGUAUGCAUUGCUGUGGUGACCUGUAAUUUGUGGGUAUUCAGGGAGGCCAGUUAAUGACAUACAAUUUUGUCCAGUCAUUCUCUAACUUAGUCCUUUGAGCCUAGGUCUCUCAACAAACCUAAAUCUUCCUGUUUUGUGCUGGUCAGCAGUCUUUGCAUCACCUGUCCAGUUCCAGGUGUUGCCACCUCUGUUAUUUGUCUCAACACAUUCUGAAUAACUAAACCAUUCAGCUAUUUUAAAAGUAAGGAUUAGAUUUUGUCACUUUACCUUAAUAGAGGUAUCCCCCUGGAAGAUUCUGGUCUGUCUUAUUGCCUUAACCAUGAUCGUGCAUGGAAUCCUAUAGUGCAUCCCUCUGCUGACAUUGCUUUGCUGACUAUAUCAUGGGCAUGGCAUUCUUCAGGAUACAUUCCCUCUCAGUGUUGUACAGGGUGCAGCAUUUCAGCAAAGUCACUGUAGCCUUUUCUUUUGCCUCCUUCUGACUGAUGUUGAGGUUGUUUUAAUAUCGCAUGAAUUAUAAUGUGAUGAAAAGUUCCUGGGUACUGACCAUGAGUCACUGUCUUCUUCUGAUGCUUCCAAGGUCUUCUAUGAGGGAAGCAGGGUAGUUUUAGUGAGGGGCCUAUGAUGAGUCAACAUGGAGCUUGCUGGAGGCUUUUCUUCUGUCUUGGGCAUUUGGUGAUGUGUUGUUUAGUUUAUCUGUGCAGAGUUUGUAACUUACUUGUAGGUCCAGCAAGUAUCUGCAUAGCAAGAUUUCCUGAAGUGGAAAUGAGUACAGGCCAGGGCAGCACAGCCUGCUUGACUGUAAGAGACUUGUACAUAACAUAGCUCCCACUAAUUCUUCAUUCAACAGAAAACCUGCUGGAUAAAAGCCUUGGGCACGAAGUCAGUCAAGUUAAGGUAAAGAGAGCUGCUAUUAGAAGAAGCUGCACACUUUGGGGGCAAGCCUGAAACAGUGGCCAAGAACAGAGUCUAAUCCACCACCAACAUAUGAUCCUUUGCUGGGAAACAAGCCUGCUCUACACAGCCUUGGGAACGAGCUAAGCCAGAUUGGGGAAUAAGGCAAGGACCAUGAUUCUAUGUUGGUUUAUGGGAGGACAGCACAACACUGACUGAGUUGUUUAUAGGCUAUAGGCUAUGCCUGCUAUGUACAUAUCCCACUCAACAUUUGUUUUUAUGCCUUCAGAGAAUCCUGGGCGGUCUUUAUAUUAAGGAUUACCUCAGAAAGUAAACACUUGACUGCAAUGUACUAUGCUUAUAUUGUGUGAACACACAUGUGUUCUGUGUUUGGGAGUGUGUAUUAGUGUUUCUGUGUGUCUGUGUGUGUUUGUAUGUGCACACAGGUAUGCAUGCCUCCACUGACAUUACACUCAUCUAAUGACCAGAAUAAGGAAGGAUUAGAGGAAACAAUGCAGGACACUCUGAAGCAGAGAGAACUGAUCACCCAGGAAAGUGACUUGGG
rnacentral:sRNA from 1 species